GCCUUCGGGUAUGCAGGGUUCAGGAUCGUUCUCAAACUUCACUGAACUCUGCAAACAUUCCCACUUAUUCAGUUUUAGAGAAUCCUUUAUAAGUUUUCCGGCCAAUUUCUCUAACUAUCAGAGAUCAGGGAAUCUUUACAGAUCUAAAAUGAGCUACAAAAAACAGUUAGAGAAAUUGGUCGAAAGUUA
rnacentral:antisense_RNA from 17 species